rnacentral:lncRNA from 1 species
CUCAUUACAUUCAGUCAAAGGUCACCUGACAAUUUGUGUUUCUCUACAGAACCAUUUCCAUCCUGGGCCACAGCUCUGCUGGUUCUCCUGGUUCUCCUGGUUCUCCUGGCUCUGCUGGUUCUCCUGGUUCUGCUGGUUCUCCUGGCUCUGCUGGUUCUCCUGGUUCCCCUGGUUCUGCUGGUUCUCCUGGUUCUGCUGGUUCUGCUGGUUCUCCUGGCUCUGCUGGUUCUCCUGGUUCCCCUGGUUCUGCUGGUUCUCCUGGUUCUGCUGGUUCUGCUGGUUCUCCUGGCUCUGCUGGUUCUCCUGGUUCUGCUGGUUCUCCUGGCUCUGCUGGUUCUCCUGGUUCCCCUGGUUCUGCUGGUUCUCCUGGUUCUGCUGGUUCUGCUGGUUCUCCUGGCUCUGCUGGUUCUCCUGGUUCCCCUGGUUCUGCUGGUUCUCCUGGUUCUGCUGGCUCUCCUGGUUGCCCUGGUUCUCCUGGUUCUCCUGGUUCUGCUGGUUCCUCUGGUUCUCCUGGCUCUCCUGGUUCUCCUGGUUCUGCUGGUUCUGCUGGUUCUCCUGGUUCUGCUGGCUCUCCUGGUUCUCCUGGUUCUGCUGGUUCCUCUGGUUCUCCUGGUUCUGCUGGUUCUCCUGGUUCUGCUGGUUCCCCUGGUUCCCCUGGUUCUGCUGGUUCCCCUGGUUCUCCUGGUCCUCCUGGUUCUCCUGGUUCUGCUGGUUCUGCUGGUUCUCCUGGUUCUGCUGGUUCUCCUGGUUCUCCUGGUUCUCCUGACACUGCUGGUUCUCCUGGUUCUCCUGGCUCUCCUGGCUCUCCAGCUUCUCCUGGUUCUCCUGGUUCUCCUUGCUCUCCUGGUUCUCCUGGUCCUCCUGGCUCUCCUGGCUCUCCUGGUUCUCCUGGUCCUCCUGGUUCUCCUGGCUCUCCUGGUUCUCCUGGUUCUGCUGGUUCUCUGGUUCUGCUGGUUCUCCUGGCUCUCCUGGUUCUGCUGUGUCUCCUACUACACUACCCAUAAUGCCGAUGGUUAG